ACAUCCAGAGAACUUAGCAGAGAUGCUUUGGUGCCUUCGGGAACUCUGAGACAGGUGCUGCAUGGCUGUCGUCAGCUCGUGUUGUGAAAAUGUUGGGUUAAGUCCCGNAACGAGCGCAACCCUUAUCCUUUGUUGCCAGCGGUUCGGCCGGGAACUCAAAGGAGACUGCCGGUGAUAAACCGGAGGAAGGUGGGGAUGACGUCAAGUCAUCAUGGCCCUUACGGCCAGGGCUACACACGUGCUACAAUGGCGCAUACAAAGAGAAGCGACCUCGCGAGAGCAAGCGGACCUCAUAAAGUGCGUCGUAGUCCGGAUUGGAGUCUGCAACUCGACUCCAUGAAGUCGGAAUCGCUAGUAAUCGUAGAUCAGAAUGCUACGGUGAAUACGUUCCCGGGCCUUGUACACACCGCCCGUCACACCAUGGGAGUGGGUUGCAAAAGAAGUAGGUAGCUUAACCUUCGGGAGGGCGCUUACCACUUUGUGAUUCAUGACUGGGGUGAAGUCGUAACAAGGUAGGCGUAGCGAG
rnacentral:rRNA from 1 species